AUGCAGUCGAGCGAUGAAGUUUCCUUCGGGAAACGGAUUAGCGGCGGACGGGUGAGUAACACGUGGGUAACCUGCCUCAUAGAGUGGAAUAGCCUUCCGAAAGGAAGAUUAAUACCGCAUAAUGUUGAAAGAUGGCAUCAUCAUUCAACCAAAGGAGCAAUCCGCUAUGAGAUGGACCCGCGGCGCAUUAGCUAGUUGGUGGGGUAACGGCCUACCAAGGCGACGAUGCGUAGCCGACCUGAGAGGGUGAUCGGCCACAUUGGGACUGAGACACGGCCCAGACUCCUACGGGAGGCAGCAGUGGGGAAUAUUGCACAAUGGGGGAAACCCUGAUGCAGCAACGCCGCGUGAGUGAUGAAGGUUUUCGGAUCGUAAAGCUCUGUCUUUGGGGAAGAUAAUGACGGUACCCAAGGAGGAAGCCACGGCUAACUACGUGCCAGCC
rnacentral:rRNA from 1 species